CCAGACUCCUACGGGAGGCAGCAGUGAGGAAUAUUGGUCAAUGGCCGGAAGGCUGAACCAGCCAAGCCGCGUGAGGGAGGAAGGCGCAGAGCGUCGCAGACCUCUUUUGCCGGGGGACAAAAGGCCGGACGGGUCCGGUUCUGAGGGUACCCGGAGAAAAAGCAUCGGCUAACUCCGUGCCAGCAGCCGCGGUAAUACGGAGGAUGCGAGCGUUAUCCGGAUUUAUUGGGUUUAAAGGGUGCGUAGGCGGGCUGUUAAGUCAGCGGUAAAAUGUCGGGGCUCAACCCCGGCCUGCCGUUGAAACUGGCGGCCUCGAGUGGGCGAGAAGUAUGCGGAAUGCGUGGUGUAGCGGUGAAAUGCAUAGAUAUCGCGCAGAACUCCGAUUGCGAAGGCAGCAUGCCGGCUCCACACUGACGCUGAGGCACGAAAGCGUGGGUAUCGAACAGGAUUAGAUACCCUGGUA
rnacentral:rRNA from 1 species